GGAAUUCGGAUAAUGUUGCAUCAAAGCAACCAUUAGUAUUGAUCUGUUCUGAAAAGGCUGUGUAUGUCUAUUCCUUAUUGCAUAUUAUUCAGGGUAUUAAGAAAGUAUACUACAAAAAGAAGUUCCAUUCCACGCUAUGUUGCUGGGCAUCAACAUUUGACAUGCCUGAGGCGGGCCUUAUGCUUCUCUUCUCGAAUGGAAAGAUUGAGAUUAGGUCUCUUCCAGAGUUGUCCCUUUUAAAGGAAACUUCAGUUAGAGGCCUCGUACUUUCGCC
rnacentral:misc_RNA from 1 species